AUAUGAUGCACUGACUUUCUCGAGCAAUUGUCUACAAAUCUGGACACGCUGGACCUUGCCCUUAUCAAUGAUCCCUUACGAAUUCUUCGUUUCACAAGGAAGCUACAAUUCUAUUGCUCUUAUACUGUGUUCCUAUGUUAUAUAUGCACUCACACAUUCUUUCCUUUCAUUACAGAAGAUAUCAAAAGCCAGCCGAGUGCAACUUUGAUCACCUCGUCAAUCAAUCGAUUCUUCUCUCACGAUCUUAUGGCAUUAGAUGCUUUUUACCAAAUUUUUUCUUCCGAUGCUAAGUAUUCAAUGGAAGUUCCCGAGCAUGCUCAUCCAAGAUUACAUGAAUCAAGAACCCCAACUAUGGUCCUCACAAGUGGAACUAAAAACUAUAUCAUUGGAAUGACCGACAACAGAUUUCACCAAAACUGGAACAAAUUUGUUGAUGAUCAUGGUCUUCACCAAGGAGAAAUACUUGUAUUCAUACCCCAGUCCCGUACAUCCCUUACUGUUUUAAUUUUCGGAAUCAACGGCAUAGAAAUCAUGUAUCCAUGGCAUCAUACAUUUUACCUUUAAUAUAUUUGAAUCUUUGAUUACCAAA